GAAGUUUGGGAUGAACUAAGCCAUGCGAGUCAUUGUAGUAAUACAAGGCAGACGGCUCAGUAACGCGUCCUUUAAUAACCUAUGGACGGGAAUAACCCCGGGAAACUGACUUUAAUGAAAGAUAGAACAUUAUGGGUGGAAUGGUUUAUGUUUAAAAUGAUUUAUAGCAGUAGGAUGGGAAUGCCCCCUAUCAGUUUGUUGGUGAGGUAAUGGCCCACCAAGACUAUUACAGGUACGGGCUCUGAGAGGAGUAGCCCGGAGAUGGGUACUGAGACACGGACCCAGGCCCUAUGGGGCGCAGCAGGCGAGAAAACUUUGCAAUGUGCGAAAGCACGACAAGGUUAAUCCAAGUGUUUUCUGCUUAAGGAAACCUUUUGUCGUCCUUAAAAACCCCGAAGAAAAAGGGGUGUUUUUUUUCUGGUGUCAACCGCCCGGGAAAAACCCUGCCCCCCAAGGGGCCCGGAUGAUUAUGGGGGCUAAAGCAUUCGUGAACCGGUUUUUAAAAUUUUCGGGUAAAACUGUAUGCUCCAAAUAACAGGUGGCCGGAAUUCUGGCAAAAUUAGGAGUGGGGGAAGGGGAAAAGGCCUCCGGAAGAAAGGGGUAAAACCCUUUUUUUAUUUGAGGACACCCGUGGAGAAAGGGGGCUACCCAAAACCUCCCAAAGGGGGGGAUGUAAGUGGGGGAACAAACCGAAUUAAAAACCCGGGGAGGCCCCGCUUGUAAAAUUGCAACUCCCCGAUGUAUUUGGUUUUGGCCAAGAGGUGGUGGGGGAAACCCUUUAGUUUCCCCCCGGAAAUACCUUCGCAGUUUUAAAUCCAAAGAAUUUGCGGAAU
rnacentral:rRNA from 1 species